AGAUGGCCAAGAGAAACAUCAGUAACUUCAGGGAUGCAAAUGGCAUCACCCUUAUGGCAGAAAGUGAAGAACUAAAGAGCCUCUUGAUGAAAGUGAAAGAGGAGAGUGAAAAAACUGGCUUAAAACUCAGCAUUCAAAAAACAAAGAUCAUGGCAU